rnacentral:misc_RNA from 1 species
GAUGAAGAACGCAGCGAAAUGCGAUAAGUAAUGUGAAUUGCAGAAUUCAGUGAAUCAUCGAAUCUUUGAACGCACAUUGCGCCCGCCAGUAUUCUGGCGGGCAUGCCUAUUCGAGCGUCAUUUCAACCAUCAAGCCCUGCUUGCGUUGGGGUCCUGCGGCUGCCCGCAGGCCCUGAAAACCAGUGGCGGGCUCGCUAGUCACACCGAGCGCAGUAAUACAUCUCGCUUUGGGCGUGCGGCGGGUUCUUGCCGUUAAACACCCCCUUUUUACCAAGGUUGACCUCGGAUCAGGUAGGAAUACCCGCUGAACUUAAGCAUAUCAAUAAGCGGAGGA